rnacentral:rRNA from 1 species
AUGAGGGGGAAGACCGAGGAUGAGGAUAAACCCUCGAAGGCACCGGUCAUGGCGGAUGCGCCGAGCUCGCCGGAAGCGUUGGGUUCGCGUUCUACUUUGAUCUGUGAGCUCUUGAACCAGGGGUACGAAGAAGAUGAUCUCAAGUUGGUGGUCGAGACGUUGGUCCCGAUGGCCGAUCUGGCGAGAGACGGCGUCGACCCGAAGGAUCGCAAGAAAGUGAUCUGGCGGCUUGUGCAUCGGCGCACUACGGCUCGGCCCUGGCAGGGACCGAUUCCCAAGGUAAGGUUGCGGGUGUUAACGCUGGGUGAUUUUCUAAAUUCGGGAGUUUGGUUGCAGGUUCAACGACGGCGGCGGAAGGAGCGGCGGCCGGCGUUGUCGCCGGAGGAGGAGGGGAAGCAGAUCUCGAUCCAGGAGGCUCAUAGAGAGCGUUUGAAAUGCUUAUUGGGCCAACAAGGGCCGGUUUCGGGAGAGGAUCAUGUGGGCUCAGGGCAUGCGGCCCAGCCAACGAUUUUUUCUGAGCAUGCGGCUCAGGCGGGUCAGGAUGGGCUGCGGGAGCAAUUGGUGGUGGCCCAACCCAGCAUGGACAUUACUAGGGUUCGGCCGACGUGGGCGCGACCUGGCUUUCGUUCUCGCGGGGUAGGUCAAGCGCGACGUGUGCGAGCAAACGCGGUGCCGAUCGACAGGGUCUCCUUUGACGCUAUGCUCAUGGCGGGGAGAGGGACGGAUCCUCCACCGGUGCAGGCAGUUACGUCUAAUGGGCGCAGUCAUCGCUCGGAUCGGGAGCGAGCCGGUCGGCUGUGGCGGCUAAUGGUGGGCACGGCGACACUUGUGGGGCGGUGA